AUUGAACGCUGGCGGCAUGCUUUACACAUGCAAGUCGAACGGUAACAGGCCGCAAGGUGCUGACGAGUGGCGAACGGGUGAGUAAUGCAUCGGAACGUGCCCAGUCGUGGGGGAUAACGCAGCGAAAGCUGUGCUAAUACCGCAUACGAUCUAUGGAUGAAAGCGGGGGACCGUAAGGCCUCGCGCGAUUGGAGCGGCCGAUGUCAGAUUAGGUAGGUGGGGGGGUAAAGGCUCACCAAGCCAACGAUCUGUAGCUGGUCUGAGAGGACGACCAGCCACACUGGGACUGAGACACGGCCCAGACUCCUACGGGAGGCAGCAGUGGGGAAUUUUGGACAAUGGGCGCAAGCCUGAUCCAGCAAUGCCGCGUGCAGGAAGAAGGCCUUCGGGUUGUAGACUGCUUUUGUACGGAACGAAACGGUUUGGGUUAAUACCCUGGGCCGAUGACGGUACCGUAAGAAUAAGCACCGGCUAACUACGUGCCAGCCGCCGCAGUAA
rnacentral:rRNA from 1 species